CCUCCCAAAUCAGUUUCAAUCUCACUGCCGUUAUAUCUCCCAAAUCACAAAUUUCCGUUAUUCUUUCCCAGUCCAAAUUAUACUCCCUCACAUUCACCGUUCACUUUCGGAGUUUCAGACUGUUCUCUGCUACGCUCCUUCUCGACAGGGUCUUGCAUCAUCUGAGAACAACUUAUUCUUCUCCAUCGUUCCUUCUCUGCGAUUCAGCAAUAUUUUUAUCUAUUUUAUAGCCAUGUAGAGGCAGAACGGGUUGAAGAUGCAGCACAACAGUCUUUCAGGUGGUGAAAGAUUUGUUUUCCCUUUCUCUGGCGGGAAAAUUGUUGGGUGGUGUAGGUGUAGAACAAACUCUUCCAUGUUGCUGCUGGGGAGGAGCCAGAGUGGUUUCAUGUUGCUUUUAUUCUCUGUAGGUAGUUACAAUUAACUAUUUUUUAAUUUUGCUUUUAUUUCUGUAUGCAGUUGGUGAUUCAUCGUGUAAGCAGUUGAGACUUCACUAUGCAUGCUUUGUUUUCUUGAGAUAUAUGAGGGACUUCUCUUAUGCUCAUGGAAAACAGUCCAUACACGGGCAGUGUGAACACCACUACUACAGACAAGCAGUGUCUAGCAAAAUUUUCCAUUUCUUUCAAUUUUAAGAAGUUAAUGGGGAACCAUAAGAAGAAAGAAUGGAAGAGUUACACAUAGUAUAUGAUAAUCACCCUGGCUAUUCUUCUCCAAAACAAGCUUUAUGAUAUAUCCAAAACAGGCUAUUCAUCAAACAAGUGUAACGGCUGAAACAUACGCUACUGAAACUCCUUCUAUAUAAUCAUUUAGUUCCAUCAUUCCAUCUGUCAAACCAUUCAUCUCUAAUAUCUGCGAAAUUAGAGCAAUUGGAUCUGCUUCAGCUACCGUCCCUGUUAUUACUGGGAGAAGACUGAACAUUGCUACUUAAUGGAGUCUGUUGGAGAUCCAUUAUAAUUGAAAAUGAGUAUUUAAAGAUUGGAGUGGAUACAUUACAAGACUUCCUUAAAUAGUUCCUUACCAUAUAUUGAACAGGUGUUGGACUAUCUUUUUUACCCAGAGAUACAUUUCAGUGGACAUUUGAUCAUGAGAUUGCAAAUCAAACACUUCAACUUUAUAGGGUAGACACAUUUACUACAGAGGAAGAGGUCUGCUAAGGUUGGACUAUUAAUAGAAUGAAUUAGAGGACCAAUUGUGAAGAGAAUCACAGCCGAUAGGGAAUUGGUGAUUGCCGUUUUACCUGUCUGCUAACAAGCUAUGGAAGGUGAAAGAAGAAUCCUUGCUCGAUCAGAGGGAACCUUAAGAAAAUUAGAUCAUUGCAUGGACAGUUCUCUAAUUCCUCUAUCUUUUCUAUUUUUUUUAGCACUUUCAACAUGCAUUUGUUCUAUUGAUCUUAUACAGCUCUCUAGGCUCUAGCAACUUGAUCUAAGACGUAUGGUGAGAUUAAAAUGGAUGCCCCUUAUGUAA